AGUGAACGCUGGCGGUAGGCCUAACGCAUGCAAGUCGAACGGCAGCACAGUAAGAGCUUGCUCUUACGGGUGGCGAGUGGCGGACGGGUGAGGAAUACAUCGGAAUCUACUUUUUCGUGGGGGAUAACGUAGGGAAACUUACGCUAAUACCGCAUACGACCUACGGGUGAAAGCAGGGGAUCUUCGGACCUUGCGCGAUUGAAUGAGCCGAUGUCGGAUUAGCUAGUUGGCGGGGUAAAGGCCCACCAAGGCGACGAUCCGUAGCUGGUCUGAGAGGAUGAUCAGCCACACUGGAACUGCGACACGGUCCAGACUCCUACGGGAGGCAGCAGUGGGGAAUAUUGGACAAUGGGCGCAAGCCUGAUCCAGCCAUACCGCGUGGGUGAAGAAGGCCUUCGGGUUGUAAAGCCCUUUUGUUGGGAAAGAAAAGCAGCAGGUUAAUACCCCGCUGUUCUGACGGUACCCAAAGAAUAAGCACCGGCUAACUUCGUG
rnacentral:rRNA from 1 species